rnacentral:rRNA from 1 species
GACGUAGGGCGCGAGCGUUGUCCGGAAUUAUUGGGCGUAAAGAGCUCGUAGGCGGUCUGUCGCGUCUGCUGUGAAAACUCAGGGCUUAACCCUGAGCUUGCAGUGGGUACGGGCAGACUAGAGUGCGGUAGGGAGACUGGAAUUCCUGGUGUAGCGGUGAAAUGCGCAGAUAUCAGGAGGAACACCGGUGGCGAAGGCGGGUCUCUGGGCCGUAACUGACGCUGGAGGAGCGGAAAGCAUGGGGAGCGAACAGG